UACGGAGGGAGCUAGCGUUAUUCGGAAUUACUGGGCGUAAAGCGCACGUAGGCGGCUUUGUAAGUUAGAGGUGAAAGCCUGGAGCUCAACUCCAGAACUGCCUUUAAGACUGCAUCGCUUGAAUCCAGGAGAGGUGAGUGAAUUCCGAGUGUAGAGGUGAAAUUCGUAGAUAUUCGGAAGAACACCAGUGGCGAAGGCGGCUCACUGGACUGGUAUUGACGCUGAGGUGCGAAAGCGUGGGGAGCCGAACAGG
rnacentral:rRNA from 1 species